rnacentral:lncRNA from 1 species
AAAAAAAAACCGAAAACUUUUGUCCACCAGCUGCCUGCCUGCCUGCCUGACUGCCCCGCUGUUUGGGGCAGUGCUGGUGAGAAAAGGGAGCUGUAGACUGCCAGGGACAGACGGUGUUUAGAAACUGGAGCUAUAACCCAGAACUGUUCAUCUAGGGCAAAAAGAGCCAAGCAGGAGCAUGUUUCAGAGGAUGGGCUGACCUCUGUGGUUGCAGUUAUUCCAGAAGAAGGUGGCUCAUUCUUAAGAGUCUGUAUGGAGGAAAGUGGAGAGAUGGAUCUGGGGAAGGGAUAGCAUGGUGAUGGGACCUAAGGGUGGUUGAAACUUACGUCUGUUUGGGUCAUCAGAGGAUUGAAAAGUCAGGCACAGAGAUGGGGUGGGGUGGGAGUGUUCCGCAGAGAGGAAGUAUGUCACACCCAUGAUGGUGUCCUAGGGAAAGACCCUGCCUUUUUGCUAGUAGCAGAUCUAAUGGAAACAACUUCAUACUGACUAGGAUUGUUUACCGGGAGAGUAGAUGUAUUGAAGGGGGAAGGGGCUGCAGGGCUGGGAUACAAGUGUCCAAAUAAGAAAAUGUGCCCCAUAUUUAAAGCUGCUAAUUCUUGGUUUGGAUAUUCCCACUAACCCUUUUUGUUUGUGUCCUCAGAGGAUGGAUUAGGAUUGGUGCUACGGCUCUGAUGUAGCUGAAAGAUGGAAAAAAAAAGCCUCAAAGACAUGUGGUUUUACAUCUGAGGGGGCCCAGAGCCGAACUUGAUCUUUCCAAAGUCAACAGUCAGUUGGCUCCACGUUCACCUUUUCUGACAGUAGCAGAGAAAUAAUUUAAGUGUUUCAAGAAAAAUGACCAUUCUGGGCCAAAUACAUCUCUCUUUUGUGACUCCAUUAUUUCAAAAGCAGAGGCCCUG